GCCUCAAUACAAAAAAAUACAGAUAAAUUUUUUCUUGUGCACAGAAUUUAAGAAGAUCAAAACGCGAAAUAUUUAAGGAAAAUUAAAAACAAAAACAUUUAAAAACACUUUAAGUCGAAAUAAAGUUCAAAAUUGGCUUUGCAAGGACCCUUGGAUUACCUUGUAAAGACACAUUAUCAAACAACAAAACGGACAACAAAAAAGAUAAGCUCUAGCGAGCGAGUGGAAGGCCAUAAGAAGGAGGACGAAGGACGCCAGCUUUAAGUGCAGCAAAAGUUCCUUAAUUUUCAUUUCUUUUUUGUUUUACUUUUUGUUUGUCUUUGUAUUCGUUGGCAACAAAGACAACGACGCCUACCCCAAAGGCAAGUUAAAUUGAGGCAACCAAGCCGUGUUGCUGCAGCCGCAUAAAAUGGCCGCAACAGCAGCAACAGAAGCAACAGCAGCAACAGCAACAGCGGCAACAGUGCAGCAUAUUGACGAACUGAGCAAAUGAAUGAGACUGAAAAUGAAGCACAAGAUGAUGAUGAUACAAAUGCAGAUAAUAAUGAUGAUGAUGAUGAUGAUGAAGAUGAUGAUGAUGCAGAGCUGCAUAACCAUGCCAAGUGCCAACAGCAACAAUCCAUGCAAAAGGUUUAACUAAGUGCCAAAGGCAACAACGAACGACAAACGCAAAAGAGAAGCGGCGAACUAAACAAAAUCAAAACUAAAUUUAUACAAGGACAAAAAGAGAAAAGA